GGAGGAGUGCGCCGAAUGGUAAGGCACUCGCUUGGAAAGCGAGCGGGCUGAUGCCCUUGCAGGUUCGAGUCCUGUCUCCUACG
rnacentral:tRNA from 1 species